GCGGGUGUAGCUCAAUGGUAGAGCACCGUCCUUCCAAGUCGGCUACGAGGUUUCGAUUACCUUCACCCGCUCCA
rnacentral:tRNA from 2 species